AGUUAGGAUAUUUUAAAAAAAAAGACAAGUUUGCGUCUUGUUAUUGAGGCUUCUCUCUUGACUU
rnacentral:tRNA from 1 species